AGAGUUUGAUCCUGGCUCAGGAUGAACGCUGGCGGUAUGCCUAACACAUGCAAGUCGAACGGUGUCUUCGGACACAGUGGCGGACGGGUGAGUAACGCGUGAGAAUCUGCCUCUAGGUUGGGGACAACAGUUGGAAACGACUGCUAAUACCCGAUGUGCCGUAAGGUAAAAGAUUUAUUGCCUGGAGAGGAGCUCGCGUCUGAUUAGCUAGUUGGUGGGGUAAAAGCCUACCAAGGCAGCGAUCAGUAGCUGGUCUGAGAGGAUGAGCAGCCACACUGGGACUGAGACACGGCCCAGACUCCUACGGGAGGCAGCAGUGGGGAAUUUUCCGCAAUGGGCGAAAGCCUGACGGAGCAAUACCGCGUGAGGGAGGAGGGCCUUUGGGUUGUAAACCUCUUUUCUCAGGGAAGAAGAUCUGACGGUACCUGAGGAAUAAGCAUCAGCUAACUCCGUGCCAGCAGCCGCGGUAAUACGGAGGAUGCAAGCGUUAUCCGGAAUCGUUGGGCGUAAAGCGUCCGCAGGUGGUUUUUCAAGUCUGCUGUUAAAGACUGGAGCUCAACUCCGGAAAGGCAGUGGAAACUGAGAAACUAGAGUUCGGUAGGGGUAGCGGGAAUUCCCAGUGUAGCGGUGAAAUGCGUAGAUAUUGGGAAGAACAUCGGUGGCGAAGGCGCGCUACUGGACCGAAACUGACACUCAGGGACGAAAGCUAGGGGAGCGAAAGGGAUUAGAUACCCCUGUAGUCCUAGCUGUAAACGAUGGAAACUAGGUGUGGCUUGUAUCGACCCGAGCCGUGCCGUAGCUAACGCGUUAAGUUUCCCGCCUGGGGAGUACGCACGCAAGUGUGAAACUCAAAGGAAUUGACGGGGGCCCGCACAAGCGGUGGAGUAUGUGGUUUAAUUCGAUGCAACGCGAAGAACCUUACCUGGGUUUGACAUCCCGGGAAUCUCUAUGAAAAUAGAGAGUGCCCUUCGGGGAGCCCGGAGACAGGUGCUGCAUGGCUGUCGUCAGCUCGUGUCGUGAGAUGUUGGGUUAAGUCCCGCAACGAGCGCAACCCCUAUCUUUAGUUACCAUCAUUAAGUUGGGGACUCUAAAGAUACUGCCCCGGUCAACGGGGAGGAAGGUGGGGAUGACGUCAAGUCCUCAUGGCCUUUAUGCCCAGGGCUACACACGUGCUACAAUGGGCAGUACAAAGGGUUGCAACACCGCGAGGUGAAGCCAAUCCCGCAAAGCUGCUCUUAGUUCGGAUUGGAGUCUGCAACUCGACUCCAUGAAGCUGGAAUCGCUAGUAAUUGUGGAUCAGCACGCCACGGUGAAUACGUUCCCGGGCCUUGUACACACCGCCCGUCACACCAUGAGAGUUGGUUGUACCAGAAGUUGUCGGGCCAACCCUUCGGGGGUGCAGGCACCUAAGGUAUGGCUGAUGAUUGGGGUGAAGUCGUAACAAGGUA
rnacentral:rRNA from 1 species